rnacentral:rRNA from 1 species
ACACGGGGGGUGCGAGCGUUGUUCGGAAUCACUGGGCGUAAAGCGCGUGUAGGCGGAUAUUAAGUCAGAUGUGAAAGCCCACGGCUCAACCGUGGAACUGCAUUUGAAACUGGUAUUCUAGAGUGCAGGAGAGGGAAGGGGAAUUCCCGGUGUAGAGGUGAAAUUCGUAGAUAUCGGGAGGAAUACCGGUGGCGAAGGCGCCUUCCUGGACUGACACUGACGCUGAGACGCGAAAGCGUGGGUAGCAAACAGGAUUAGAUACCCCAGUAGUCC